GCUCAUUGAGCUGAGCAUCUUAAAGACACACUCACUGUCUUCUUGUUGUGGCUGGAAAAGACCCAAAGGUGCAGAGCAUUCCCAGCCAGGUCCAGCCUGCAGACAGACACACAGCAGAUGUGGACAGUGGAACCUCCUCAAGCAACAUCUCCAUACUUCAUCUGCUCAUGCCAGGGAGCAGAGGACAAGUGCUUUGUGCCACUAACUCUGAAGGAAGAGACAGGUCAAGCCUCGGAAGAGCUUCUUGGCUGCCGAGGCUCUGCAGCCACCCCUGCUGGCGACGCCUGUGCUGCACAGUGGGGAGCUGGGUCCUGAUUCUCAAAGUGAUGUCCUUGGCCCCAUGUGAAGACCCUUCCUGCAUAAGGCCCUGGUGUGGCUGGUGAGCCUCACGCCUGUGGAGCCGACAUGGCAAGUUCCCUGAGCUCAGCCUAAUGUUUGGCUGUGGG